UUUUGAUGAUAUUUAUAUAAUAUUAACAUAAUUCAUAUUACUAUAUAUUUUAGUAUAUGAAAUUUUACUUUGAGAAAAUUAGAGUGCUUAAAGCAGGCAUAUGCCUUGAAUACUCCAGCAUGGAAUAAUAUUAAAGAUUUUUAUCUUUCUUAUUGGUUCUAAGAUAAGAAUAAUGAUUAAUAGGGACAGUUGGGGGCAUUCGUAUUUAACAGUCAGA
rnacentral:rRNA from 1 species